GGGUGUAGCUCAGUUGGUUAGAGCGCCGGCCUGUCACGCCGGAGGCCGCGGGUUCGAGUCCCGUCCGCCCCGCCA
rnacentral:tRNA from 1 species